rnacentral:rRNA from 1 species
UACGGGGGGUGCGAGCGUUGUCCGGAAUCACUGGGCGUAAAGGGCGCGUAGGUGGCGUCGUAAGUCUGUGGUGAAAGCCCGGAGCUCAACUCCGGGUCUGCCGCGGAUACUGCGAGGCUUAAGUGCUGUAGAGGGGGGUAGAAUGCCGGGUGUAGCGGUGGAAUGCGUAGAGAUCCGGCAGAAGACCGGUGGCGAAGGCGGCCCCCUGGGCAGUAACUGACACUGAGGCGCGACAGCGUGGGGAGCAAACAGG